rnacentral:tRNA from 1 species
GUAGUAUAUGGUUGAUUUUAUUUUGCUUUGGGAGCAGAGGGUCGCAGGUUCGAAUCCUGUCACCCCGACUA